AUACGGAGGGUGCAAGCGUUACUCGGAAUCACUGGGCGUAAAGCGCGCGCAGGCGGCUAUUUAAGUUGGAUGUGAAAGCCUAUGGCUCAACCAUAGAACUGCAUCCAAAACUAUUUAGCUAGAGUGUGAAGAGGAAGAUGGAAUUAGUUGUGUAGGGGUAAAAUCCGUAGAGAUAACUAGGAAUACCAAAAGCGAAGGCAAUCUUCUGGAACACUACUGACGCUGAGGCGCGAAAGCGUGGGGAGCAAACAGAAUUAGAAACCCCAGUAGUCC
rnacentral:rRNA from 1 species